GCUAAAUUUUAGUGUUAAAUGAUGUAGGAGAUCCGAAAUCAAAGCCCGAGAACUCAGUCGAAUAAUGGGGUCGUCGAUCGAAAGUACCAGGCCAAAAGUCUUAGAGCUCACAGACCCCAGUGACAAGAGUUCAACAGAAGAAGACAACAAGGAGUUUGAGAUGGUUUUUGAGGAAGGCGGAUGCGAGUUUCCGUCAUAUCACUAUCAGAGCGCAUGGCGAACCGAUGGUUGAAGGCUAAUCUGGUGAAAAGGAGACACAGCCAAAGCUUUUUAUAAUACUAUAAAACACUGUGAAAAUACACAAAUGUGAGCUCAGUCUUCUAUGGUGAACUCCAGCCGUAAGGAAGUUGAUUCUGAACUUGUAAAUGGCGAAAGCAUUAAAAAAAACCUUGACAUUACAGAACUACGAUUUAAGAAUGGAAUUGGAAGUGUUGUUUUUUAACGCUGAAUGGGAAACUGAAAGACGAUGACUCAACUAUAGAGGAUCAAGCAGUGUCCUUAUUAAUGGGGUUCUGGAUUGUUUUGCAAGAUCAAGUACUGUCCUUAUUGAUGGGGUUCUGGAUUGUUUUGCAGGAUCAAGCAGUGUCCUUAUUAAUGGGGUUCUGGAUUGUUUUGCAGGAUCAAGCAGUGUCCUUAAACAAGGUACACUUUUUAACAAUUAGACUACAAGUUCGAGUUUUCUAUGAGUCAAUAGAUUGUCACGAGGCGCGUAGCGAGAACGAAUAGACUAAUUGUUUUAGUAUAAAUCCACUCACAUACUACCUUCAAAUAAAUGACGAUUUUAAAAAUAACUAUCAGUAAUAAAUAACACAAACAACAGUAUUUUACAAAAUCAAAACAGCGCGCGCUCGUUUGAAAUGGCGUUUUCUAGUGCGUGCGUGAGCGCAUGCAACCAGUGUUUGCAGCUUGCGCAGAUAAACGAAAAUUGAAAACUUUAGCUUCAAAACCCUGCAGUUACUUUACUUUUAGUGUCGUUUGUAAGGAUGGAAAACACAUUUACUAGGUAAGAUUGUGAACCAAAUUUCUCGAAUUUGAAUCAAGGCUUUUCGUCUCUUUCGCCUCAAGUGUCUUUUUCGCGGGCUAUUUUGCUACUCGCUAUCUAUGACUCAAUAGAUAGUGAGUACGGGAGUCAAUCAAAUUGCGAGAUUCGUGAUAGUAUGUGAGUGGUUUUAUACUAAAUGAGUAUAGUUCCGUACAUAGCAACAGUGCAGUUAAUAGGGGAGUUUCAUCUAAUAUAACAAUACCUCUGUUGGGUGGUCCCAGUUGCUCCACACAAGUGACAAAAGCUUUUGCGGUAUGGGCGACAAACCUAACAACUGAGUAUAGGUUUUACCAGUACUGGAUGCUACAUUCCUAGAGUGUGAAAUCAUACAGCCAUCUAAAUAUUAAUCACAGGUGUCCGAUGUGCUUCCAUUCUGAUACAAAUAAACAUUAUUGGAAAUUUGGUAGUCAUUAGACCCAUUAGCCCUUUGACUGUCCUGUAUCGACCGUGAGAAGUACCCACAAGCAAAAACGCUCAUUAACACAGCAAGACCAAGGUAUAUAGGCAGUAGAUUUAUGGAUAAAUAGUCUUGAUAUGCAUGAAAUAUCAAUAGUCUUGAUAUGCAUGAAAUUAAACCAAGGCAAUAAGAACUAUUGUAUAGCCAAAUAAAAGCUUGGGCUCUUAGGUAGCAUAAUCAUCAUA